CAAGGAGUUUGGUCGACACUUGAAGACUGACCAAGAAAAACCGGCAAAAAUGAGACGUCAACUAAGCGCCGUUUCAGUCCCAGAGCCAGGUCGUCCAUGGGGGUUUUCAAGCGUUUUCUCGAUGACUGAUUUUUCUAGAAGCGAAUGGAUUUUAUUCUCCCAGGUGUAAAGGCUACCUCCUGCUUCACACCCGGGUAACAUAAAAGACAGCGCUGGGACCGAAACUCGGGUCUCCUGGGUCCUGGUUGGCUGGAGAGAGGGGCAAUGAACGUCCCGAAAAGAAUUCUGUCUUUUCUCAAUAUCUGGGAGGACUCAUAACAGGGUAGAUAAUCAGGAUGGAUGUUUGGCAGGUGGGAAUCUUUGAGACGGUCUGUGCACACAAUUUUAACUCUACUUUUGCCAGUUUGGAGGACAUGAAAUUCCUGAUGAGUGUAUGUUAAAAGGGAAUAGAGAAGGUAAUAUACACAACGUUCUAAAAUAAUUGCUUUUCGUGGAGGCAAAGUGGCUAAGCAGUCCAAAGCGCUGGAUGAAGGCUCUAAUCUCUUGGGGUGUGGAGGUUCUAGCCUGUUUAGCCACAGAAGUCAUGAAACCACUAUGUGGUAUUUGUUAAAUAAUGAGUUUUGAUACUUAAAAUAAAAUGGAAUUAUUGGAGUGAAUUUUGUUUGGUUCUGUUGAAUUUGUUAUUCUUACACACACUAGCCAGAUUCUACUUAUUUGUGGGCGGCAAGCCACCCAGGCACCGAGGCAAGAGACAGAGGACACGAGCUGUUCCAGUAUAAUAAAAUAUAAAACAAGAAUAGUUAUACCAAA
rnacentral:lncRNA from 10 species